AACGAACGCUGGCGGCAGGCCUAACACAUGCAAGUCGAGCGCGCCUUCGGGUGAGCGGCGGACGGGUUAGUAACGCGUGGGAAUAUGCCCAAUGGUACGGAAUAGCCUCUGGAAACGGAGAGUAAUACCGUAUGUGCCCUUCGGGGGAAAGAUUUAUCGCCAUUGGAUUAGCCCGCGUUGGAUUAGGUAGUUGGUGGGGUAAUGGCCUACCAAGCCUACGAUCCAUAGCUGGUUGAGAGGAUGAUCAGCAACACUGGGACUGAGACACGGCCCAGACUCCUACGGGAGGCAGCAGUGGGGAAAUCUUCGGCAAAUGGGGGCAACCCUGACCGAGCCAUGCCGCGUGAGUGAUGAAGGCCUAGGCGUAAAGCUCUUUCGCCUGUGAUGAUAAUGACGGUAG
rnacentral:rRNA from 1 species